rnacentral:tmRNA from 1 species
GGGGACGCGUGGGUUCGACAGGGGAUGACUCUGCCGGAUUGCAGGCCGAGGCGCCGUCACACCUCGUUAAACCGGCGGCAAAACAGUAAACGCCAAGCCUCAACUGGCUCUAGCCGCCUAAGGCGGCUACGUCUGCCCAAGCCUACCUCCGAGGGUAAGGAGCAGGCGACUUCAAAUCGGAGUGCUGUCCUGCUGACGCCGAUGGGCAGGGCCUAAGACCUUCGGCUGGCGAGGGUGGGUAUCCCGCCGGCGGAGCACCAUCCUGGCGAGACACUAAAAGCUGGACACGCCUGUAGCAUAUCCGCGUAGAGUAUCUUCUGGACGGGGAGUUCAACUCUCCCCCGUCUCCACCA